rnacentral:rRNA from 1 species
GAUGAACGCUGGCGGCGUGCCUAAUACAUGCAAGUCGAGCGAACAGACGAGGAGCUUGCUCCUCUGACGUUAGCGGCGGACGGGUGAGUAACACGUGGAUAACCUACCUAUAAGACUGGGAUAACUUCGGGAAACCGGAGCUAAUACCGGAUAAUAUAUUGAACCGCAUGGUUCAAUAGUGAAAGACGGUUUUGCUGUCACUUAUAGAUGGAUCCGCGCCGCAUUAGCUAGUUGGUAAGGUAACGGCUUACCAAGGCGACGAUGCGUAGCCGACCUGAGAGGGUGAUCGGCCACACUGGAACUGAGACACGGUCCAGACUCCUACGGGAGGCAGCAGUAGGGAAUCUUCCGCAAUGGGCGAAAGCCUGACGGAGCAACGCCGCGUGAGUGAUGUAGGUCUUCGGAUCGUAAAACUCUGUUAUUGGGGAAGAACAAAUGUGUAAGUAACUAUGCACGUCUUGACGGUACCUAAUCAGAAAGCCACGGCUAACUACGUG